rnacentral:rRNA from 1 species
UUGUUGGUAAGGUAAAAGCUUACCAAGGCUUCGAUCAGUAGCUGGUCUGAGAGGACGACCAGCCACACUGGGACUGAGACACGGCCCAGACUCCUACGGGAGGCAGCAGUGGGGAAUUUUGGACAAUGGGGGCAACCCUGAUCCAGCCAUGCCGCGUGAGUGAAGAAGGCCUUCGGGUUGUAAAGCUCUUUCAGCCGGAACGAAACGGUUACGGUUAACACCCGUGACUACUGACGGUACCGGAAGAAGAAGCACCGGCUAACUACGUGCCAGCAGCCGCGGUAAUACGUAGGGUGCGAGCGUUAAUCGGAAUUACUGGGCGUAAAGCGUGCGCAGGUGGUUUUGUAAGUCAGAUGUGAAAGCCCCGGGCUCAACCUGGGAACUGCGUUUGAAACUACAAGACUAGAGUGUGGCAGAAGGGGGGUGGAAUUCCGCGUGUAGCAGUGAAAUGCGUAGAGAUGUGGAGGAACACCGAUGGCGAAGGCAGCCCCCUGGGUCAACACUGACGCUCAGGCACGAAAGCAUGGGGAGCAAACAGGAUUAGAUACCCUGGUAGUCCAUGCCCUAAACGAUGUCAACUAGUUGUCGGGCCUUUACGGGCUUGGUAACGUAGCUAACGCGUGAAGUUGACCGCCUGGGGAGUACGAUCGCAAGAUUAAAACUCAAAUGAAUUGACGGGGACCCGCACAAGCGGUGGAUUAUGUGGAUUAAUUCGAUGCAACGCGAAAAACCUUACCUACCCUUGACAUGUAUCGAAGCCCGCAGAAAAGCGGGGGUGCCCGAAAGGGAACGAUAACACAGGUGCUGCAUGGCUGUCGUCAGCUCGUGUCGUGAGAUGUUGGGUUAAGUCCCGCAACGAGCGCAACCCUUGUCAUUAAUUGCCAUCAUUUAGUUGGGCACUUUAAUGAGACUGCCGG